rnacentral:rRNA from 1 species
AACGCGUUAAGUCGACCGCCUGGGGAGUACGGCCGCAAGGUUAAAACUCAAAUGAAUUGACGGGGGCCCGCACAAGCGGUGGAGCAUGUGGUUUAAUUCGAUGCAACGCGAAGAACCUUACCUACUCUUGACAUCCAGAGAACUUAGCAGAGAUGCUUUGGUGCCUUCGGGAACUCUGAGACAGGUGCUGCAUGGCUGUCGUCAGCUCGUGUUGUGAAAUGUUGGGUUAAGUCCCGCAACGAGCGCAACCCUUAUCCUUUGUUGCCAGCGGUCCGGCCGGGAACUCAAAGGAGACUGCCAGUGAUAAACUGGAGGAAGGUGGGGAUGACGUCAAGUCAUCAUGGCCCUUACGAGUAGGGCUACACACGUGCUACAAUGGCAUAUACAAAGAGAAGCGACCUCGCGAGAGCAAGCGGACCUCAUAAAGUAUGUCGUAGUCCGGAUUGGAGUCUGCAACUCGACUCCAUGAAGUCGGAAUCGCUAGUAAUCGUGGAUCAGAAUGCCACGGUGAAUACGUUCCCGGGCCUUGUACACACCGCCCGUCACACCAUGGGAGUGGGUUGCAAAAGAAGUAGGUAGCUUAACCUUCGGGAGGGCGCUUACCACUUUGUGAUUCAUGACUGGGGUGAAGUCGUAACAAGGUAACCGUAGGGGAACCUGCGGUUG